rnacentral:rRNA from 1 species
UGCAAGUCGUACGCACUGGCCCAACUGAUUGAUGGUGCUUGCACCUGAUUGACGAUGGAUCACCAGUGAGUGGCGGACGGGUGAGUAACACGUAGGUAACCUGCCCCGGAGCGGGGGAUAACAUUUGGAAACAGAUGCUAAUACCGCAUAACAACAAAAGCCGCAUGGCUUUUGUUUGAAAGAUGGCUUUGGCUAUCACUCUGGGAUGGACCUGCGGUGCAUUAGCUAGUUGGUAAGGUAACGGCUUACCAAGGCGAUGAUGCAUAGCCGAGUUGAGAGACUGAUCGGCCACAAUGGAACUGAGACACGGUCCAUACUCCUACGGGAGGCAGCAGUAGGGAAUCUUCCACAAUGGGCGCAAGCCUGAUGGAGCAACACCGCGUGAGUGAAGAAGGGUUUCGGCUCGUAAAGCUCUGUUGUUGGAGAAGAACGUGCGUGAGAGUAACUGUUCACGCAGUGACGGUAUCCAACCAGAAAGUCACGGCUAACUACGUGCCAGCAGCCGCGGUAAUACGUAGGUGGCAAGCGUUAUCCGGAUUUAUUGGGCGUAAAGCGAGCGCAGGCGGUUGCUUAGGUCUGAUGUGAAAGCCUUCGGCUUAACCGAAGAAGUGCAUCGGAAACCGGGCGACUUGAGUGCAGAAGAGGACAGUGGAACUCCAUGUGUAGCGGUGGAAUGCGUAGAUAUAUGGAAGAACACCAGUGGCGAAGGCGGCUGUCUGGUCUGCAACUGACGCUGAGGCUCGAAAGCAUGGGUAGCGAACAGGAUUAGAUACCCUGGUAGUCCAUGCCGUAAACGAUGAGUGCUAGGUGUUGGAGGGUUUCCGCCCUUCAGUGCCGGAGCUAACGCAUUAAGCACUCCGCCUGGGGAGUACGACCGCAAGGUUGAAACUCAAAGGAAUUGACGGGGGCCCGCACAAGCGGUGGAGCAUGUGGUUUAAUUCGAAGCUACGCGAAGAACCUUACCAGGUCUUGACAUCUUGCGCUAACCUUAGAGAUAAGGCGUUCCCUUCGGGGACGCAAUGACAGGUGGUGCAUGGUCGUCGUCAGCUCGUGUCGUGAGAUGUUGGGUUAAGUCCCGCAACGAGCGCAACCCUUGUUACUAGUUGCCAGCAUUGAGUUGGGCACUCUAGUGAGACUGCCGGUGACAAACCGGAGGAAGGUGGGGACGACGUCAGAUCAUCAUGCCCCUUAUGACCUGGGCUACACACGUGCUACAAUGGACGGUACAACGAGUCGCAAACUCGCGAGAGUAAGCUAAUCUCUUAAAGCCGUUCUCAGUUCGGACUGUAGGCUGCAACUCGCCUACACGAAGUCGGAAUCGCUAGUAAUCGCGGAUCAGCAUGCCGCGGUGAAUACGUUCCCGGGCCUUGUACACACCGCCCGUCACACCAUGGGAGUUUGUAACGCCCAAAGUCGGUGGCCUAACCUUUA